AAUCAACGCUGGCGGCGUGCCUAACACAUGCAAGUCGCACGAGAAAGGGGAGCAAUCCCUGAGUACAGUGGCGCACGGGUGAGUAACACGUGAAUUAUCUACCUCCGAGUGGGGAAUAACUGAGAGAAAUCUUAGCUAAUACCGCAUAACACUUACGAGUCAAAGCAGCAAUGCGCUUGGAGAGGAGUUCGCGGCAGAUUAGUUAGUUGGCGGGGUAACGGCCCACCAAGACGAUGAUCUGUAUCCGGCCUGAGAGGGCGCACGGACACACUGGAACUGAAACACGGUCCAGACUCCUACGGGAGGCAGCAGUGGGGAAUUUUGCGCAAUGGGGGAAACCCUGACGCAGCAACGCCGCGUGGAGGAUGAAAUAUCUUGGUAUGUAAACUCCUUUCGAUGGGGAAGAUUAUGACGGUACCCAUAGAAGAAGCCCCGGCUAACUUCGUGCCAG
rnacentral:rRNA from 1 species